rnacentral:rRNA from 1 species
CAGCCGCCGCGGGAAUACGAAGGGGGCUAGCGUUGCUCGGAAUGACUGGGCGUAAAGGGCGCGUAGGCGGAUUGCACAGUCAGAUGUGAAAUUCCCGGGCUUAACCUGGGGGCUGCAUUUGAUACGUGUGAUCUAGAGUGAGGAAGAGGGUCGUGGAAUUCCCAGUGUAGAGGUGAAAUUCGUAGAUAUUGGGAAGAGCACCGGUGGCGAAGGCGGCGACCUGGUCCUUUACUGACGCUGAGGCGCGAAAGCGUGGGGAGCAAACAGGAUUAGAUACCCCUGUAGUCCCUGUCUCUUAUAU